rnacentral:rRNA from 1 species
AUUGAACGCUGGCGGCAUGCCUUACACAUGCAAGUCGAACGGUAACAGGUCUUCGGAUGCUGACGAGUGGCGAACGGGUGAGUAAUACAUCGGAACGUGCCCAGACGUGGGGGAUAACGAGGCGAAAGCUUUGCUAAUACCGCAUACGAUCUAAGGAUGAAAGCAGGGGACCGCAAGGCCUUGUGCGUUUGGAGCGGCCGAUGGCAGAUUAGGUAGUUGGUGGGAUAAAAGCUUACCAAGCCGACGAUCUGUAGCUGGUCUGAGAGGACGACCAGCCACACUGGGACUGAGACACGGCCCAGACUCCUACGGGAGGCAGCAGUGGGGAAUUUUGGACAACGGGCGAAAGCCUGAUCCAGCAAUGCCGCGUGCAGGAUGAAGGCCUUCGGGUUGUAAACUGCUUUUGUACGGAACGAAAAGGCUCUGGCUAAUACCUGGGGCACAUGACGGUACCGUAAGAAUAAGCACCGGCUAACUACGUG